UUAUUCUACGUUUAAACUUCUAUCCUUUUCAGAUUUGAAUUCCAUAUGAUAUCGAUUUAUUUUGUAAUAUUCAGUAUCAUUAUAACUUCAUUAAUAACUUUUAUAGUAUACAGAUCAUCAAAAUCGAAAGGUAAGCAGAUGCCAAUUAUUGAUCUUCCUCCCAAUUGCAUAUUUCAUCUUGAUGAUGUACCAAAAAUAACCCCCAAAAAUAAAUUAUAUGAGGCUAUUAAUAAAUUAUCCUCAAAAGAACUUGAAGAAGAAAAAAGAAUUGAAAGGGAACAAUUAAAGGCAAUUAUGAGUUUAAUGGAAACACAAUCUGAAAAAUUUGGAACAUUCUCAGAAAAUGAACUUAAAGAUCAAAUGAAAUUAUAUGCAUUGUAAACUAUUUUUUAUAUAAAUUAUUUUCUUAUUUUUUUUAUAUAUUUAUUUAUAUAUUAUGUGUGAAUUAC